rnacentral:misc_RNA from 1 species
AGUUCGCUUGGUUGGUUUUUGUGCCGAGGGAUUCCAUAGAGCAUUUGUUUAUGAAUUCUUACCAAAUGAAUCAUUGGAGAAAUUCAUAUUUUCAAAUCAUGGUCAGCAUCGUUCUCUUGAUUGGGAGAAGCUACAAGAUAUUGCCCUUGGAAUAGCUAAAGGAAUAGAGUAUCUUCAUCAAGGUUGUGAUCAGCGAAUCCUACAUUUUGAUAUCAAA